rnacentral:lncRNA from 1 species
UCUACAAGAGAUGGUAUGCAAAGCAAAUAUCCACUUACCUAAAGAGUCUCGAAAAAUUUGAGAUUUAUGGACAAAGGUGGGUACUUGUCGUCUAAAGAGCACGAGCUAUUUCUUUCCCUAGGGGCCAUGGAGGCAUGCCUAGGUUGCUAAAGAAUAACGACUUGCACGUCCUGAGUUUGUUGGAGUCACGUAGUGGAGCAAAGCUGGCAAUUUAUUGCCUAGCGGACAGAAGACUCUAAAAUUUCUUUAGCACAGUUCACAGAGGUCAAAGUGGCAACAGUUUGUUGGUUGCUCUGGUGCCUCUAAGUAGAAACAUAUAUAGGGUUGUUAUUGAAGUAUUGGUGCCAUGGUGGAUGGAGUAUUUCAGAUGUAUCAGUUGCCCUUCACUCUUGAGGUCUAGAUGUCCUUUGGCUCGGACAAAGGGAGUAGAUGAUGCUUUCUGGGUCCACUGUGGCAUUGGCAGCCAAAACUUUGGAUAGGACUUCUUGUUCUCUAAGGCAGAUGACGGUUGGAUCUUCCAAAUGAUGUUGUGUUGGAUUUGGCUUUGAAUGACCCAUCAAGAAAAGUGAAGAGUUUUGACAUCGCACAUCGUCUGGAGAGCUGAUUGGAUGCACACAUUUAUGGAGGACAUGCGCUCGCUUCUUCUUUUGAGGAAGAAAUCACCACGGUAUGCAGAUUGUUCAAUGUGAUGAUUGUUUCUAUAGUAUUGAACUGCACGAUGCUUUGUCGUCCAGUGAAGAAUUGACAUAUGG